AUCCUACGGGACGCAGCAGUAGGGAAUUUUCGGCAAUGGGGGGAACCCUGACCGAGCAACGCCGCGUGAAGGAAGAAGGAAUUCGUUCUGUAAACUUCUGUUAUAAAGGAAGAAAGACGGAUGGAGGAAAUGACAUCCGAGUGACGGUACUUUAUGAGAAAGCCACGGCUAACUACGUGCCAGCAGCCGCGGUAAUACGUAGGUGGCAAGCGGUAUCCGGAAUUAUUGGGCGUAAAGAGGGAGCAGGCGGCAGCAAAGGACUGUGGUGAAAGACUGAAGCGUAACUACAGUAAGCGAUAGAAAAG
rnacentral:rRNA from 1 species